CAUACUUUUAAGAAAGAAGUUAGGUUAAUGCCUGUUGAGACAGCCACUGUGAUUAUUGUGCUGAAAGAACUUUGUUAGGGAAAUAACAAACUUUACACAAACUCAGUGGAUGCUUUAGACAAGGAGAACACUGAUCACAAAGUCAGUAUUAGUAAAUAGGAAGAUGGGCUGCAGUAACCAAUCAGGCUUUCAGAAGGUAAUUCAAAAUACUGGUUCAGCUGGAGCAAGGGACGAACACUGAAGAACUAGAAGUAAACCAUGAAGUUAUUUGGAUGAUAGACACAGAAAUAUGCUGCUCAGAUGCCCCUUUCAAGAAAGAACUUGCUGCCUCUUGCUCAGUUUCUUCCUGGAGCUUUCAAGCAUCUUUUCAGGGAAGUCACAUCCUUCCCAGGGCAGCCCGACUGAGCAAGACACGAUACCUGAAGCUAUGAUAACCUUCUUGUGACCAGGAGACAACAAGCAGAAGGCCAAAAAUACCCAAGAAUGGCAGAGCAGAAGGAUGGAAGGAGCUGGGCUUCAUUAUAACAUCGGAGAGUAGCCAGAC